rnacentral:rRNA from 1 species
GAUGAACGCUGGCAGCGUGCCUAAUACAUGCAAGUCGAGCGAACAGAUAAGGAGCUUGCUCCUUUGACGUUAGCGGCGGACGGGUGAGUAACACGUGGGUAACCUACCUAUAAGACUGGGAUAACUUCGGGAAACCGGAGCUAAUACCGGAUAACAUUUGGAACCGCAUGGUUCUAAAGUGAAAGAUGGUUUUGCUAUCACUUAUAGAUGGACCCGCGCCGUAUUAGCUAGUUGGUAAGGUAACGGCUUACCAAGGCGACGAUACGUAGCCGACCUGAGAGGGUGAUCGGCCACACUGGAACUGAGACACGGUCCAGACUCCUACGGGAGGCAGCAGUAGGGAAUCUUCCGCAAUGGGCGAAAGCCUGACGGAGCAACGCCGCGUGAGUGAUGAAGGGUUUCGGCUCGUAAAACUCUGUUAUUAGGGAAGAACAAACGUGUAAGUAACUGUGCACGUCUUGACGGUACCUAAUCAGAAAGCCACGGCUAACUACGUG